ensembl:lncRNA
UGUACCCAUGGUUACAGCUUGUGUUCAGAAUUCAUGGUCCUUUAACAGGUUAUUAGGUUAAAAGUCAUCCUCAGCUCACUCGGUCACGGAACUAAAUCCUCUCCCUUGAUACUGGUCUGUGAUUUCACCAUUUAUCUAGAGAAACACAGAAUGUGGCCCUGGGAGUCUGUCGUCUUCCCCGGAUGAGAUUCCAAUCUUUCUAACAAAAUCAAGGGCACUUGGAACUUGAUGGGGUUAGUGCCUGCCUCCAAAUGGCUUAUAAUAAACUCACUGAGACACUCAAAGGGAAGUACUCACUUGGUCUAGGGCCUUUUCAGAGGCCUCAAGAUUUAAUUACAAAGAUUCUGUUCCUUUGAUUUUUUUUUUCUUUAACAGCCCUGGCCACCUGACUUCUAGGGGAAAGCUGGAGUGGGAGUAGUGUGCUCUCAGAGUGAAUCAUUUGGGUUUAUCACUCCUGUUGUUAUUUUGAUGAAUGACUUUAAAGUCUAGGGUUUAGGUUACUUUAAGCACAAUACUAUAGACUUUCCCACAGAAUCCCACAGUUGCUGAUAUAGAGGGGAAAAAACUGUGGACUCUGUCCUCUUUGGACUCUCACCCUGCCCGCUCUGUUUGAUGUUCAGUUAAGCCAUUACAUGCAGAUGUGCCAGUGCCCUGCUGCUUUACAUGGACCACCACGGUCCACGUUUCUCCACUGGGCGUCAGAAUCUGUGUCCAGCUCACUCGGCAGUCCAUAUCACACCACUCAGGAGGUGACUGAGCAUGCUGAAGACUGCAUAAAACCCAGACUGGGGCGUUGUCCCAGGCCUGCCAAAGUGCUGGCAAGCCCCAGCGUAACUGGGCUCGCACUCAGCCUCAGUCAGUCUUGGAGACUGAGACUUCUGUCCAGCAAACUGGGAAAAAAUGUUAUAAAAUUCCUAACGGAAAUGCACACUUGAUGGUAUCAUUCAAGAUGCUUGUUUAGUAUCAGUAAAAAAAAUAAAAAACUUUUGUGCCUGCCUUUCAGAAUAUCAGGAUGUCGUUAAACAGAGAUCAUGUAGCUCCCUGGAGAAAUGAGGCAGUGAGGCUGUGUUGAGGUCCCAGAUGUCCCCCAUUCUUCGCUCUUCUAGGUGGAGUUGAGACAUCACCUGCCUCCAGCCCGUCUUCUGACCGCUCCAUAGUAUCCUAGUGUCCCUCACAGGACAGGGACAGGAGGGAACUAAAUCUGUCUUCUUACCGCUUGUUUCUAACUGAAAAGGUUGGUGGGAAAAAAACUUAAAACCACUACCUAAAAUGUUUUGAACAUUAAUUUCAAAUGAUCUGUACUUCUCCUUGCCUUGUGACUGGCUAUAAUUGAGGAUCUGGCCAAACAGGCCCCGUGUAUUGAUGAGUCUUUUCAGCUGUUACAGUCCUGCACGUGCCGAGCUGUGCUCAGGAACUGGGAAUGGCCACGGUAAUCAAGUCCCCAUCUAUUCAGAAGUCUCAAUGGGACCUUUCCUUUUUUGUCCAGAACCACCUAGUAGAAAUACUAUACGUUCUAAAUUGCUAGCCCAGGAAAGGAGGAAAAGUUUUUGUCCUAACCUUGAUUUUUGAAAUGGUUUCCAUGUGCCCUCUCUGGGGAAUCUAGUUUAGCACCCACCUAGUUUAGCAAAGGUUUGAACAAGCAGGUCCUUUGCUUCCGUCUCCUGUAUCAGCCCCCUGCCCACAUCCUCUGUCCCAGCUCCACAUGCCUGGAUUCAGACUCAGGGGCCUCUAAUAGGCAUUCAGCCAGAAAGAAGGUAGAGGGGAGUGUCUCCUGGGGUCAGAGAGAUCAGGGCUGAUCCUUCAAAGAAGGAAACUUGUGGAGCUGCACAGUCUGCAGGGAAACGUUAAGAAGGGGAUGGAGGUUUGAUUCACCGUUAACAGUGAAAGUGAAGUGAAGUCACUCAGUCGUGUCUGACUCUGCAAAAGGUCAAAUCUUAAAAAAAACUAAAGGUUGAGGGAUGGGCAGAAACCCAGCAUGCAUUGGCGCACUAUCUAUCCUCCCUGUUGCCUUUGCCUUUGGGGUCCUUGAGAUUCUGGGGAGGGCGGAAGAGUUGCCUCAAACAGUGGCUUCUGUUUGAGCAGGAAGUGGGGGAGCACGUGAUCCCAGAGGGGACUUCUAACAGAGAAACAGACACAUCGUAGCCUCUUGGGUGGCCCCAGCAGAGCCAGCCUAGGCAGGCCCCUUCAUCUGUACCAGAUUUAGCCAAUAAAAAUACAGGCUACCUGGUUACAUUUGAAUUUCAGAUAAACAACCAAUAGUUCUCUAAGUUUGUCCCAGUUUUAUCUGGCUACCCUAUUCAGGCUUCCAGGCUUGGCACAGGCUGCCAGGAGCUCUCCAGCUAAAUUGAUGGCCCUGAUUUGUUGCACUGUUUGUGCCUCUGUGGGCAGCGGAAAUGACAGCUACACAGUCACUUGAGAAAAG